AACGCACCUUGCGCCCCGUGGUAUUCCGCGGGGCAUGCCUGUUUGAGUGUCACGUGAAACCUCACCCCGGUGAUCUUAAAACGUCGCCGUGGGGUGGAUUUGGACCGUGCCGUAGUAGGCUCGUCCUGAAAUGCAUUAGCCUGGUCGGUGGAACCGCAUGGCCGUGGUGUGAUAAUCUAUCUGUGCCAGUAAGUGCCCGUGCGUAAAUCGCCUUUGACCGGCUCACCAGUCGUCCGAUAGGACAAUGAUACACUUGACAGUUUGGCCUCAAAUCAGGUAGGACUACCCGCUGAACUUAA
rnacentral:misc_RNA from 1 species